CUGGUUUACUUCAUUGCUGGUUGCGUACCCCCCAGUCCCUAGUUGACUGCAACCUGCACCUGGGCACAAACUGGGUCUAUUUUGUUUAUUCACCCAUGUAUGUCAAACGUCCAGCCCGGAGCUGGCAUAUAUUGGGAGUGAGAAAAAUAUUUAUUGAACGAUGGAUUCCUCACUUGACAGGGAAACUGAGGCACGGAGAGGCUAUGCAACUUGUCCAAGCCCACACAGCUUGGAAGUGGCAGCGGGAGGAUUCAACCCGAGGUCUUUCUAACGCUAAGACCCUGUUCGCCUUCUCGCCCUAGCCCACAGCCGCGUGCGCUGUGUCGCCUGGGCCACCGCGACUGGGCGCGGGAGCCAGGGCCGGCCUGAAGUCCUCCCCCGGGCCCCCCCCGCCGCGGGUGGAGCCGAGGGAGGCAGAAGCUGGAAGAGGCCGGAGAGGCCGCUCCCUAGACGGCGGUCGACAGGCUCCGAGGCUGUGCGCGGCGCUCCAGAGCUCCCGCCCCGCCGGCGCGGGAACCACCACUUCCUCCUCCCCGGGAUCUGUCUCGCUCUCUGGCCUCGGUCCCCCUCUGCCUGGCUAACCCGUUUCUCACUGGAAAGCGAAGCGACUCUAAGCUAUCGCGUUGAAUCCACAGCCUGAAAACACCUCCACCGGCAACGGUCCCCGAACCCCGAACACCCCAGCGCCCGCGCUCGCGGCGUCCCCGCUGCGACAGGUGCUCAAAAGCAACAGAGACGUUAAUUAUGAAUGCAGAAGGCAUGGUUCAGAAAGGAGUGAUGGCAGCCAAAGUUAACUGCGUCAUUGUUGUUCUGGAGGGGGCUUUUUACCUGUACUUUUUUUGAGAUCAGGCAAGGGCCUGUUGACAACUUAACAUGCCAAGAACCCAUCAAGUAAGGCAGGUAGAUGUUUAUGGCCUGUUCCUGGUCCUGGUGUAUUACCACAGCAUUGCUCAGAUUCCCAGUCUGAGUCAGAAUCCUAAGUGACUGUUCCACGUCGCAGGAUGUUUGUUUGUGUUUGCUGAAGGACUUAAAGUGCUUGCAAAAUGGUCUGUCAUAUCCAUCUUCAGAAAGAAGAUUGCUCAUCUUUGAGAUCCCAUGUAGAUGGAAAAAGGAGGUAGAGAUGAUAAAUAAAUGUACAAAAUCA